CUCUUUGUGUCCCCAAAUACAAAUUUGGGGUUGUGGGUUGGACUUCUAAUCCAAAGGUUAUGGGUUCGAAUCGCACCAAGGAUG